rnacentral:rRNA from 1 species
GAUGAACGCUGGCGGCGUGCCUAACACAUGCAAGUCGAGCGAACGGACGAGAAGCUUGCUUCUCUGAUGUUAGCGGCGGACGGGUGAGUAACACGUGGAUAACCUACCUAUAAGACUGGGAUAACUUCGGGAAACCGGAGCCAAUACCGGAUAAUAUUUUGAACCGCAUGGUUCAAAAGUGAAAGACGGCCUUGCUGUCACUAAUAGAUGGAUCCGCGCUGCAUUGGCUAGUUGGUAAGGUAACGGCUUACCAAGGCUACGAUGCAUAGCCGACCUGAGAGGGUGAUCGGCCACACUGGAACUGAGACACGGUCCAGACUCCUACGGGAGGCAGCAGUAGGGAAUCUUGGGCAAUGGGCGAAAGCCUGACGGAGCAACGCCGCGUGAGUGAAGAAGGUCUUCGGAUCGUAAAGCCCUGUUAUUAGGGAAGAACAGAUGUGUAAGUAACUGUGCACAUCUUGACGGUACCUAAUCAGAAAGCAACGGCUAACUACGUG